ensembl:piRNA 21ur-11726 ncRNA
UAGAAUCUAGAGUUGAGCAAA